AGCUCUGUAAGCGUAUACCAAAGUUGUUGCAGUUAAAACGCUCGUAGUCGGAUUUUGGGGCAGCCCGUGCUGUGCGCGUAGUGCGUGCGGCGCUGGGAUGUUCUUUUGUGGAGGGCGGCGCGUCGUGGCUUUACUGUCGCGGCGUGUCGGCGCCACCGUUUACUGUGAAAAAAUUAGAGUGUUCAAAGCAGGCGUUUGCCGUGAAUACAUUAGCAUGGAAUAAUAGAAUAGGACUUGGUUUCUAUUUUGUUGGUUUGUGAGAGCCGAGUAAUGAUUAAGAGGGACGGUUGGGGGCAUUUGUAUUCCAGCGUCAGAGGUGAAAUUCUUGGAUUGCUGGAAGACAAACCGCUGCGAAAGCGUCUGCCAAGGACGUUUUCAUUGAUCAAGAACGAAAGUACGC
rnacentral:rRNA from 1 species